GAACGGUAGCACAGAUAGCUUGCUCUUGGGUGACGAGUGGCGGACGGGUGAGUAAUGUCUGGGAAACUGCCCGAUGGAGGGGGAUAACUACUGGAGACGGUAGCUAAUACCGCAUAACGUCUUCGGACCAAAGUGGGAGGACCUAUCGGGCCUCACACCAUCAGAUGUGCCCACAUGGGAUUAUCUAGUAUGUGGGGUAACGGCUCACCUACGCGACUAUCCCUAGCUGGUCUGAGAGGAUGACCACCCACACUGGAACUGACACACGGUCCACACUCCUACGGGAGGCAGCAGUGGGGAAUAUUGCACAAUGGGCGCAAGCCUGAUGCACCCAUGCCGUGUGUAUGAAGAAGGCCUUCGGGUUGUAAAGUACUUUCAGUGGGGAUGAAGGCGAUCGAGUGUAUAGCUUCGUCGAUUGACGUUACCCGCACAAGAAGCACCGGCUAACUCCGUG
rnacentral:rRNA from 1 species